rnacentral:rRNA from 7 species
AAAUUGAAGAGUUUGAUCAUGGCUCAGAUUGAACGCUGGCGGCAGGCCUAACACAUGCAAGUCGAACGGUAACAGGAAGCAGCUUGCUGCUUCGCUGACGAGUGGCGGACGGGUGAGUAAUGUCUGGGAAACUGCCUGAUGGAGGGGGAUAACUACUGGAAACGGUGGCUAAUACCGCAUAACGUCGCAAGACCAAAGAGGGGGACCUUCGGGCCUCUU